rnacentral:lncRNA from 1 species
AUGAUAAGUCAAACAGUCAAUAUAUGUGCUAUCGGAAUCUGUGCGUUCACUCUCAACUCUGGUUACUUUGCUCUAACAGAUAUUCAGAAACCUUUACUACUAAGCGCGCAUGAUAACAACCCUGAUUUUAACGUCGAUGGAUACACCCUCGCAGGUGUGUUAUACUCCUCUUUUGCAAUCAGUUUAUUCCUCGUUCCUUCAGUUAUUUCACUCAUUGGCCUCCGAUUGGCAUUAUUUAUUGGAGCUGCAUGCUACAUGUAAGUAUAGGUGAACCUCCAUUCACUACACAAUACACAGUAUAAUGAAACUAUGUGCUAGAACUAAAUUACACAAAAUUGAAAAAGAAGAAAGAUAAUUCUCCAAUACAACGGUAUUUACUUUUUUUUUGGAGACUUAGGUGCGCGAUUUUUUUUAAUCCUUCGAUUGAAAUGACGUUGCAAAUGAAAAAAUGCUCACCAAGUUCAUGGUAAAUUUUUCAAAUACUUUGAGUUCCUACUUUCUUUUGCUAUGUCAAUGGCAAUAUACUUAUCUUAAAUUGCGAUGUUGUAAGUCUCCACUCAUGUUUUAUUUUUUUCAGAGGAAAACUAACCAUCAGUUUAUUUUGAAAUUUUCUCUGAAUUUUCUUCAUUCAUUCUAAAAAAGAAAUCGCACAAAAUAGCGCGGAAGCGUUUUGAUUAGUUUUAGUCGAGGAAAAUAAACCAUGAAUUGAGAAGAAGUUCUUCACAUUUAGCUAUAUUUUACUGAUAUAUCACACGUAGGCUUUUUGAUUAACGAAGGGUAAAAUAGCGCUUUUCAACUACAGCAAACAUGUUUCAGCACUACCCUAGAAAGGACUCUUAUUUCUUGUUCAAGCAUUUAAGCAUGCCAUGUACCGACAUACAGGCAUAUUGUUUUAUUUCUCUAUGUGAUAACCUGACAAGUCCAUUUUUAAAUAUUAAUACCUUAGUGUCUUGAGGAUGUUUCGCAAAAUGUUUGCAUUCACAUUGUCACAAUAAUUUUCACCAAGUCUCUGGCUGUGUGUCUUCUGAUUUGCCAGAGCUCCUCCAGUGACAAUUUUAUUAGAGAAUAGUUGGUUACUCUACAUAGCCGGAUCGCUCAAUGGAAUCGGCACCUCUCUAGUGGCUACUGCAACUUCAACUUACUUAGUAUUGAACUCAACUGAGGAAACGCUUGCACGAAAUACGGCUUUAUGGUGGUUUUUUUUUCAAGGCGGGUAUGUCAUGACAUUUUCAUUAUUCGAUUUUAGAGGAAAUUAUUCAUAUUGUUUUAAUAGACCACUAGACAAGGUAUGAAUUUAAGCAAUCUGAUACAUGUUUCUGAAACAGAAUUUUACGUAAAACACGAUUCGCGCGACGAAAAUGACCGAAACCAAUUCCUGAGGGAGAUAUUAACCUUUUUAUUUCACAUUGGUUACGCGGAUUUUGAACUGACCGCCCACAGAAACUCAAAGCUCUACGUGAGUCAAAUCGCGCACUACAACGGUUUCAGCAAGCUUCUCAAUUGAGUAAUGUUCAUUAUCCUCUAUGUGUUGUUCAAACUAUAAGCAAUUUGCUAUAGCCGAGCAAAAGCGUCAAGAUUGAGGUUGCCAGAUUUUUAUAUCGCAAGAGACUGUCAUAAUAACGUUUAGCGCGCAAUGUGAAUUACUUGGAGCAUUGAGUUUUCAUGAGCGGGUGGUUUGAAUUCACGCAUCGCAAGAAUCAUAAAAUAUUUUCGGAAGGGGUUGAUUUCGGUAAUUUUCGUUGUGAGCAUUGUGUUUUACGCAAAAUUUUGGUUGAGAAACAUGUAUCAGAAUGCUGAAAUUCUUACCUUGUCUAGUGGUCCAAAAAAAAGGAGUCUUAUUAUCUGUUCCUCUAUUAGCACAUACAUCUCUUUAAAACAACGUUUUUAAAAUGUGGCAGAAACACUUUUCGGUUUUUAAAAUGUUUAAAUUGACACAUUUAGGAUACUGUGGGAACCAUGGUUGAUUAUGCUUGAUAUAACCACUUUAAAGAUUUCGGUGACACAUAUUUUAGAAAUGAAUCCUAAGAUUUAUAUCAGUCUCUCCUUGCCUCCAACCGCACAUAAAAAUUAGAUUAAAAGAUGCAACUGACCAAUCGCAUGACUUUAUUUUGUUUUAUUCUUAUCUUUGGCCGUCGCAAAACAGAAACUUUCAACAAUCGACCUGCUGGAGACCUGAUAUUAAAUUUGAGAGGCUGCUAUUUUAAGUUUUCGUUUUACUUUUUUUAAAUUCUUCGUAUGAAUGUAAAGCUCUAAACAU